rnacentral:rRNA from 1 species
AAGUCGUAACAAGGUUUCCGUAGGUGAACCUGCGGAAGGAUCAUUACUGAGCUUCAAAGUCUGAUUGGGGCUUAUACCCCCAUCAGAUGAGAACUCCACCCUUUGUUUACAUUACCUUUGUUGCUUUAGCAGGCCCGCCUCUGGCCACCGGCUUCUUGCUGGUCAGUGCCUGCUAAAGGACCCAAAACUCAUGUUAAUAAUAUUGUCUGAGUACUAUAUAAUAGUUAAAACUUUCAACAACGGAUCUCUUGGUUCUGGCAUCGAUGAAGAACGCAGCGAAAUGCGAUAAGUAAUGUGAAUUGCAGAAUUCAGUGAAUCAUCGAAUCUUUGAGCGCACAUUGCGCCCUCUGGUAUUCCGGGGGGCAUGCCUGUUCGAGCGUCAUUACAACCCUCAAGCUCAGCUUGGUAUUAGGCUUCGCCUGCUAUGGGCGGGCCUUAAAAUCAGUGGCGGUGCCAUUUGGCUUCAAGCGUAGUAACAUUUCUCGCUCAGGAGUACCGAUUGAGUGCCUGCUAUAAAAACCCAAUUUUUCAAAGGUUGACCUCGGAUCAGGUAGGGAUACCCGCUGAACUUAA